AGAGCACAACUGUAUGCUGGAGUCCAGGCUGGAUUGUCAGGCUGUGUCUCCAGCACAUGUGCAGAUGGCCUUCGCUGAUGAGUCUCCCCUAUCGCAGACACGUCUGCUCUGCCAGACGGUCUCCAACGGCGUCUACCCGUCCAGCAUACAGAGCUCACAGCAGCGGCGCACAGGAGAGGAUGGUUUCAGAACUUGGCCGCACGAUGCAGGGUUGUUGGCUCCAGGACCCCCCUCCAGUCUACAGCACUGCAAUAACCUGGCCCAGCUGGACGAGGACGAACUGUGACCCUGUGCGCCCUGGGAGCCGGUCCCAGCCUGGACACGUCCUCUCCAGCCUCCAUCGCUCGCGUGAUUGGCCUCCUGCUGUCCCUGUUCAACUCGCACUCGAAAUGAUCAAGCUACUUCGUUCCGCUUUCUUAUUUGUCCUUUCAAGUAGCAGUGUGUUUUGUUCAAAAGAGAAAUGACCAUUCCUGCAUUGGGAGGACACUGGAGUUGGAAUUUUUGGAGGUUUUUUUUUUUUUUUUAAAUGAAUAUCCGUGCGGGUGUACGUGAGUAUGUAUGUACGUGUGCACGUGUGUGUAUGUGUGGUGGAAAUUGCUUCAGUAUUGUAAACGUGCUGUUCCCCUCAACAAUGUGGCGUGCAGUUCAGAGGACUAAUCAGAUACCUUAGAGAGACUCGGUUCAGCAGGGCCAUCUAUCUCCAGCCUGUAUCAAACAGCCUGCUUCAUCCCGUACAUUCUUCCGAACGAGCCAGCGGGAAGCAGAGUGAUGACGCGGCUGAUUUGUAUUCACCGUGUGUGGAAGACGUUGACUGAAUCCCUGCAUGAAGACACAGUGGAUUUACUCUCUCUCUCUCUCUCUACUGAAAAAGGGAGUGUCCAGUAAUGUGUUUCCCUAUUCUGUUUGACAGCAAGGUGCCGUUUGAGCUGAGUGGAAGUAAUGCAGUGACAGCGCCCCCUAGAGACACACAGCUGGCGUGAUGUGAGUCUACAGGGUUGGGGUAGGGUCACUCGGUCUGUAUUUGCAGCUUCUGUUGGACACAUCCAGUGGCAGCUUUCACAUGCGCCGCCUGGCUGAGGAGGAGAAGGAUCCCCUCAACGCUCCGUGGGAACAGCAGACCACUCGGGGACAUGCUAGUAGAGUGACAGAAGGCAGCAGGUUGACGGACGUCUUCCGCUCUGCCACCCUUCAAGCUCCUGAGUUGUUUCCUCAUCAUCCAUGCUGCCUGCUACACUGUUUGAUCUCUUGAUGAAGUGGUUUCAAAGAUAACCCCUAGAAAUAAUGAUUUUUGAUGACUCAGAUGUUACUAAAAAACAAAAAAACAUUCCCCUGAUGGUAUAUCACUAAGUGCCAAAACACAGUUCCAGUGCCCUUAAGUGCAUCUGUUUAAAAGUAAACAACUAGAUUCAUUUGAUGAUUACACAUAGGGAGGCUAUGUGCAUUAAUAUCCUUUGUGGGUGUAAGAUCCAUUUAAAACUUAAAAAAUGAUAUCUGAAUUAUUACCCAUGAAAAAGAUACAAUUAUGCCUGAAAACAUUGUUUGCAAACAUGAUGAUUUGUUUCUUAUAAUUUGAUUUGUUGAUUUUAAAUUAUUUCACCUUGCCAAAAAGCUACAAAUGUGUGCACCACUCAGUUGAUUCAGUUACAUCAAAAGGUGGCAGACAUAUAUUUUGAAAUGAUGUCUGAAAUCUGCAGACUAAUGUUUCCAUUUUUUAAAUGUGUUUUUUUUAAAUCAUACAAGCAAUUACCUUGCAUUUUGAAUUAUCUUCUCAAAAGAGGAGAGAUUGUAUUGAAAUGUAAAAUGAAUAGUGUGACUGGCAAGCGCUUUCAAAACUGCUUUGCCAAUUGCAAUAUUUGCCCAGUAGAGGGCACCAGGCUGCUUCGGCACUACUGCACACACUUCUGAAUCUUUGAAUCUUUUCAACUGGGCCCUCGGGUGCCUAGUUUCCCAACAGCAUUGUAAUGUUUGGAUUACCUUGAUUUAAGAGAGUCUUCAAAGUGGCACUCACUCUGACACUUUAUAAUUAGACUUGCAAAAUAGCACCAAAGCUUGUAUCUUCUAAUACUGGAAUGUCUAAAAUGCAUAUACACGGUUACUCUUAAAAUGAAUGUCCCACUGCUCACAUUCUGUUGUCUUGACAUAAUACUCUAAUAACAAAUAGACAAUAUAGCCCUGUACUGAGUAUGAGUUUGAACUCUCUAUUACCUUUGCACAAGUCUAAACCUUUGCAUGCUUUGUUAAACCAAACCCCUAAAAUCAGUCAGCAGAGGACAAUGUAAGAACUGAGGAGAGGACGGAUGUUUAUCAGGAGUCUAUAUGACAGAUCUCGUUGUAUUAUAUCGAAUAAAUUGUGUCUUUUUGCAAUACGAGGACUUUCAUAUCGCAACACUUUUUUUGUAUAUUUUUUUUUCUCUCAUUUUAUUAUUAUUUUCAUCAUCAUACGGUGUAAACCCAAAUUCUCCAUUUGAAAGGACCUUUGGUAUUGUCGGUUAGAGUAACAAUUGCGUUUCCAC
ensembl:lncRNA